rnacentral:lncRNA from 1 species
UGUGGUAUAUUUACUUUGUACUCCACAGUACGUUAAUACAGAAAAAUAUUUCCCAGUUUCCACAAGUGCUUGAAGGUACGUACGUCAAUGUGAAUACUCACACACACGUGUACAUAAAUAGGCUUGGAAAGAUAUUAGGAACGUGAGAGGAAGAAGAUGUUGGCUACUAUUUUCCGACCGACAUGAGGCCUCGCUCCUGUGAUCUUAAGUGCGUGCAAAAGUAGCCACCCGUGUGCAGUGUGCUUUCGCCAUGUACGUUUUAAGUUUUAACCUGUCAGUGUCAGUUGUUUGCUUGCGUCAGUCGUCUAUCUCAAGAAAAAAAGUGUUUUCGAUCGUUUCUUAAAAUAUAAGGACUAUUCCACAUAAUUGGACUAUUCCACAUAAUUGGAAGAAGAUAUUACUUUUGCUAUGUAUACAUAGCCAUUGAAUCUUCAGUUGAUGAUCCCUUAAGAGCAACUCCAAUGUCAACUUCCUUCUUCACUUCAUCUACCUUCUUCAUCUUUUCUUUAGCUUCAUAUGCUUUGCUUAACUCAAAACCUUGAAGAAUCCCAACAAACUCAUCAAAAGCCAUCUCAUCUAGAUUAUGAGCUUCUUCAACUGCAGAAAUAUUUGACUCAAAUUUUGCAGGCAAUGAUCUCUUCAACUUCUUCACUAGCUUUUUGUCCUUGUAGACCUUUCCAAGAGCAAACGAUUCAUUAGAUAUGUCACAUAACUUUGCACUAAAAUCAGCCACAGUUUCCUCUUCUUCUAUCCUUAGAUUCUCAAAUUGCGAAGCCAACAUAUCCAAUUUCGUUCUCUUAACGCUUGUAGUACCUUCAAACAUAUUCUCCAAUGUCUUCCAUGCUUUUUGAGCUGAUGCACAUUGAGAAAUCAACUUAAAACGGCUUAAAUCAAUAGCAUUGUAAAUCGCAGUCUUAGCCUUAGAAUUACAACUUGAUAGCUUUUUCUCUGUAGCAGUCCACUUAUCUCUUGGCUUGAGACUUACAACUCCAUCAUCAUCCGUAACUUUAGGAGCCUCCCAACCAAGUUCAAUUGAAUUCCAACAAUCUUCAUCAAGAUUACUAAUAAAAGCUUGCAUACGAACCUUCCAAUAUCCAUAAUUCGCUGAAUCAAGAAGUGGUGGUCUUGUCAUAGAUGUACCUUCCUUGUAUGACUCCAUCUCACACGAUUCUCAGCUCUGACUUACUUUCUGAACGAUCUCCUGAACAAUCUUCUGAACGAUCUGCUGAACCUCACCCUGAUCUACCCGAAACAAGACUAAAUCUCUAUCGAGAACCCGCUCUGAUACCAAUUGUAAGUGCGGAUGAGGUAAGAUAAAUUGUAGAAAGUAAACGAGACAAGAAAUUUGUUAACGAGGUUCGGUUUUUCCUACUCCCCGGGACCAAGUCCAGAUUUUGAUUUCACUAGAACAAGAAAGCAAAUUACAACCAAUUCGGAAACGCGUAAAACAAGCCCAACCCUCUUGAUUUACCGCUCCCUUCUAUAACGUGAAACCUUAAGGAUAAUCUCUACCCUUAACUAAACUCCCAUUGAGUCUAGAUUUAAUCAGGAUAACCUAACCCUGAGCUAAACUCCCCUUGAGCCUAGACUUCAAAACAAAACCACUUGAUCACACAAGCACAAAACCCGCAAAACUAAGUUGUACAAAACCGCGAAACUAUGUCGCACACACCCUCUGAAAGCUCUCAAUGAUUUGCCUAUAUGCCUCAGCUCUCUUCCUCUCCAAGACGUCCUCCACUCCUCCUUAUAUAGCCAAAACGAUUUCCUAAUCACCAUAGGAGAAGAUUUCCAAUUUCCAUAAGAAAAAGUAAAUUUCCUUUUAUAGUUUUCCUUUUUCUCAUCAAACUCCACUUUCAUCAAGUCUUCCAAAUCUCUUUAAGUUCUUUUUCCUUUGUGAUUUAUCCUCUAAACACGCUCCAAACAUAUCUUCUCAAACCUUCUAGAAAUCGACACUCACACAAAAACAGUCGCAUCUUGACUUACUUCUUGAAUUAUUCAGCAACUCCAUCAGACAAACUCUUGUAUUACUUCUUGACUCAUUCAACAACUUAAUCAGACUCUAGCUACAUCUUAAUGUUAUGUGGUAUAUUUACUUUGUACUCCACAGUACGUUAAUACAGAAAAAUAUUUCCCAGUUUCCACAAGUGCUUGAAGGUACGUACGUCAAUGUGAAUACUCACACACACGUGUACAUAAAUAGGCUUGGAAAGAUAUUAGGAACGUGAGAGGAAGAAGAUGUUGGCUACUAUUUUCCGACCGACAUGAGGCCUCGCUCCUGUGAUCUUAAGUGUGUGCAAAAGUAGCCACCCGUGUGCAGUGUGCUUUCGCCAUGUACGUUUUAAGUUUUAACCUGUCAGUGUCAGUUGUUUGCUUGCGUCAGUCGUCUAUCUCAAGAAAAAAGUGUUUUCGAUCGUUUCUUAAAAUAUAAGGACUAUUCCACAUAAUUGAACCAGCUUUUGCUCUUCACGCCACUGAUUUUUUGGAAUAGUGUCUUUUGAGAUUUGAUCUUAUUUCAAUGAUUUUAUUUUUUAAUGAGUAUAAUCACCUUUUAUAACUCUAAUUAUUUCAAAGUGAGUAAAGGUUAAUUUUCUUUGUUUAAGUCUUAAUUACUUGACUGACCCCCAAACUACUGAAGCAAAUACACUACAAAAACCUUUUUGGGAAUAUCAAAAUCUAUGGGUAAAAUUUAGAAAUCUCUAUUAUGAUCAAUUCCAAAAUGAAAUAAGGCUAGAAAGAAAUCCAAUUCCUAGAGUUAUUUUAUUUUAAAGAAUAAAAUAGAAAAAUAAGUUUAAAAUGUUCUAAAACCGGUUAAAUAUGCGUCAAAGAGCUUCUCUUGGCUACAUCUCUUUCUUCAUAUCUCCUCUUCUCUUAUAUGGAACUCUUGAUACAAAGAACCUAGUCAAGAGAUGCAACAAUUGUUGGUGGGUCAUCAUCUCUUGGACGGUUGCUUGCAUCAUAUAAUUGAUGUCAAGGCUAUUCUCAACGAACUCCUUAACCACCAAAACUGG